CGCAGCGACGCCGCGUGUGGGAUGACGGCCUUCGGGUUGUAAACCACUGUCGGGAGGGACGAAUGCGCCGCAAGGCGAGUGACGGUACCUCCAAAGGAAGCACCGGCUAACUCCGUGCCAGCAGCCGCGGUAAUACGGAGGGUGCGAGCGUUGUCCGGAAUCACUGGGCGUAAAGGGCGCGUAGGCGGCCUGAUAAGUAGGGGGUGAAAUCCUGCGGCUUAACCGCAGGGCUGCCUUCUAAACUGUCAGGCUCGAGCACAGUAGAGGCAGGUGGAAUUCCCGGUGUAGCGGUGGAAUGCGUAGAGAUCGGGAAGAACAUCAGUGGCGAAGGCGGCCUGCUGGGCUGUUGCUGACGCUGAGGCGCGACAGCGUGGGGAGCAAACAGGAUUAGAUACCCUGGUAGUCCACGCCGUAAACGAUGGGCACUAGGCGUCGGGGGGAGCGACCCUCCCGGUGCCGUCGCUAACGCAGUAAGUGCCCCGCCUGGGGAGUACGGCCGCAAGGCUG
rnacentral:rRNA from 1 species